GCGGAUAUGGCGGAAUUGGCAGACGCGCUAGAUUCAGGUUCUAGUGGGGGCAACUCCAUGCAGGUUCAACUCCUGUUAUCCGCACCA
rnacentral:tRNA from 1 species